UACAGAGGGUGCGAGCGUUGUCCGGAAUCACUGGGCGUAAAGGGCGCGUAGGCGGUCUCUUAAGCGUGUGGUGAAAGCCCGGGCUCAACUCCGGGUCGGCCGUGCGAACUGUCGAGCUGGAGCACUGUAGAGGCAGGUGGAAUUCCGGGUGUAGCGGUGGAAUGCGUAGAGAUCCGGAAGAACACCGGUGGCGAAGGCGGCCUGCUGGGCAGUGGCUGACGCUGAGCGCGACAGCGUGGGGAGC
rnacentral:rRNA from 1 species